CCUACGGGCGGCAGCAGUGAGGAAUAUUGGUCAAUGGGCGUGAGCCUGAACCAGCCAAGUAGCGUGAAGGAUGACUGAUCUACGGUUUGUAAACUUCUUUUAUAGAGGAAUAAAGGUAGCCACGUGUGGAUUUUUGUAUGUACUCUAUGAAUAAGCAUCGGCUAACUCCGUGCCAGCAGCCGCGGUAAUACGGAGGAUCCGAGCGUUAUCCGGAUUUAUUGGGUUUAAAGGGAGCGUAGAUGGUUUGUUAAGUCAGUUGUGAAAGUUUGCGGCUCAACCGUAAAAUUGUACUUGAAACUGGCAGUAGAGAGGACAGUUGAGGUAGUAGGAGGUAGGGGUGGAGCAGUG
rnacentral:rRNA from 1 species